rnacentral:rRNA from 1 species
UACGGAGGGGGCUAGCGUUGUUCGGAAUUACUGGGCGUAAAGCGCACGUAGGCGGCUUUUGUAAGUUAGAGGUGAAAGCCCGGGGCUCAACUCCGGAAUUGCCUUUAAGACUGCAUCGCUAGAAUUGUGGAGAGGUAAGUGGAAUUCCGAGUGUAGAGGUGAAAUUCGUAGAUAUUCGGAAGAACACCAGUGGCGAAGGCGACUUACUGGACACAUAUUGACGCUGAGGUGCGAAAGCGUGGGGAGCAAACAGG